ensembl:lncRNA
CCUCGACUCUUUGAUUUCCCUCUCUGGAAGCACUUGCCAUCUGAUCGAGACAAAGGCAGAAGGGGUGUUGGAACUGGACUAUUUUACCAAGACAAUGACAGUGGCUUCAGGACUGAGCCCCUUAUGACACCUCCGCACUCCUGCUACCUCUCCUGAACCCUUCAUUGCUUCCUUCCUUCCUUCCUUCCUUCCUACUCGCUGGGAUCUCCCCCUGAGGUUCCUACUGCUACUCCUGGGGGGCCCGGCCUAGGUGGUGGUGUUGCUGGAGCUCCACCCUAGGUGGUGGUGUUGGUGGAGCUCCACCCUAGGUGGUGGUGUUGGUGGAG